rnacentral:rRNA from 1 species
GACGAACGCUGGCGGCGUGCUAAACACAUGCAAGUCGAACGGUGAAGCGCCUUCCUUUUUGGUGGGUGUGGAUGAGUGGCGAACGGGUGAGUAACACGUGAGUAACCUGCCCCCUUCUUCUGGAUAACCGCAUGAAAGUGUGGCUAAUACGGGAUAUUCUGGGUCUGUCGCAUGAUGGGUCUGGGAAAGAUAUUGUUUCGGUGGGGGAUGGGCUCGCGGCCUAUCAGCUUGUUGGUGGGGUGAUGGCCUACCAAGGCGGUGACGGGUAGCCGGCCUGAGAGGGUGGACGGUCACACUGGGACUGAGACACGGCCCAGACUCCUACGGGAGGCAGCAGUGGGGAAUAUUGCACAAUGGGCGCAAGCCUGAUGCAGCGACGCCGCGUGAGGGAUGGAGGCCUUCGGGUUGUGAACCUCUUUCGCCAGUGAAGCAGGCCUGCCUCGUUUGUGGGUGGGUUGACGGUAGCUGGAGAAGAAGCGCCGGCUAACUACGUG